AGCAGCGUGGUUCAGUGGAAAGAGCCUGGGCUUGGGAGUCAGAGAUCAUGGGUUCAAAUCCUUGCUCUGCCA
rfam:Ornithorhynchus anatinus chromosome 1, whole genome shotgun sequence.